rnacentral:tRNA from 1 species
UGCUUGGGUAGCUCAGUUGGUAGAGCACUUGCCCGUGAAAGGCAAAGGUCCCGAGUUCGAGUCUCGGUCCGGCAC